GCCCAAGAGAUCGGGAUAACACCUGGAAACAGAUGCUAAUACCGGAUAACAACAGAUGAUGCCUAUCAACUGUUUAAAAGAUGGUUCUGCUAUCACUCUUGGAUGGACCUGCGGUGCAUUAGCUAGUUGGUAGGGCAACGGCCUACCAAGGCGAUGAUGCAUAGCCGAGUUGAGAGACUGAUCGGCCACAUUGGGACUGAGACACGGCCCAAACUCCUACGGGAGGCAGCAGAC
rnacentral:rRNA from 1 species